rnacentral:rRNA from 4 species
CCCUUUGGGGUGUGACUGCGUACCUUUUGUAUAAUGGGUCAGCGACUUAUAUUCUGUAGCAAGGUUAACCGUAUAGGGGAGCCGGAGGGAAACCGAGUCUUAACCGGGCGUUAAGUUGCAGGGUAUAGACCCGAAACCCGGUGAUCUAGCCAUGGGCAGGUUGAAGGUUGGGUAACACUAACUGGAGGACCGAACCGACUAAUGUUGAAAAAUUAGCGGAUGACCUGUGGCUGGGGGUGAAAGGCCAAUCAAACCGGGAGAUAGCUGGUUCUCCCCGAAAGCUAUUUAGGUAGCGCCUCGUGAAUUCAUCUCCGGGGGUAGAGCACUGUUUCGGCUAGGGGGCCAUCCCGGCUUACCAACCCGAUGCAAACUGCGAAUACCGGAGAAUGUUAUCACGGGAGACACACGGCGGGUGCUAACGUCCGUCGUGAAGAGGGAAACAACCCAGACCGCCAGCUAAGGUCCCAAAGUCAUGGUUAAGUGGGAAACGAUGUGGGAAGGCCCAGACAGCCAGGAUGUUGGCUUAGAAGCAGCCAUCAUUUAAAGAAAGCGUAAUAGCUCACUGGUCGAGUCGGCCUGCGCGGAAGAUGUAACGGGGCUAAACCAUG